CACGUAGGGGGCAAGCGUUGUCCGGAUUUAUUGGGCGUAAAGAGCUCGUAGGUGGUUCGGUAAGUCAGGUGUGAAACCUCCAGGCUCAACCUGGAGACGCCACUUGAUACUGCUGUGACUGGAGUCCGGUAGGGGAGCGUGGAAUUCCUGGUGUAGCGGUGAAAUGCGCAGAUAUCAGGAGGAACACCGAUGGCGAAGGCAGGUCUCUGGGCCGAUACUGACGCUGAGGAGCGAAAGCGUGGGGAGCGAACAGG
rnacentral:rRNA from 1 species